UCUGUCAGAGGCUGACUGGCUGGCUACAUAUCUGUCUCUGGAACAAUAGGUACCUGUAUUCUGCACGGGCUGCUGGGCAGCGCUAGCACUCUGGAGAAGGUCUGCCUCUGUCUGCGCCUUCCUGGUUCAAUGCAGGCAGAUGAGUAUCACAGCUGUAACUGAGGCACAGAGUAACCAACACAUCGGAGCCAAUUCCCAUGAUGGCAAGAGGGGGAACCGGAGGAGGUGACCACAAUAACAAGAACAUUCUUCUAACAAGUUUUAGCACUGACUAUCCUUCAGAAAAUGGGAUCCAGGAGAAGUGACGCCCUCUUCGAACUGAAAGAUUCACAGGCUAAUGGAGUCAGUGACGAAGUGGUUUAUGAACAGCAACCACUGUGCCCUGCACUGGAUGGCUGCAGGGAAUGUUUGCAGACAUGCCCAGAGAAGUCUGCCCAGGGCCAUUGAGAUACCUCUGAGAUUUAAAUCAGAAGCUACACAGUCUUUGUCGCUGUAUUUUGUUGGAAAGGAAGGAGAGGCUGUUUCUACAGGUGUCACAGAAAAAUCGAUGCUGAGCCACGGAUUAUUGGAUCCCACAGAACCGUGGAGACUUGGCAGUGAAAUUCUUCCAAAGGUGAGUAGGGGCAUUGAUUUUCUUUCUCAUGUAUAAGGAAAUAUGGCCCAAGGAACAGAGACUAAAUUUAGAUUGAAAACAAGUGUGACAUGACCCUUUACUUCCAAAAAAAAAUGCAGUAACUUCGCCAAAUAAAUAAGUGUGGAAAUUCAAUGAGAAUGUGAGCAUAGAAGUUGGUCUCAUUUGGUUUUCUUAGAUUUGCUUUUUUAAAAAGUAUCCUUGGUGCAUUUUAUUUAAAAACAUAAUUGUUUGACCCUUAAUCUGUAGCUCAGAUUCAGCUGAAAAGUUUUUGGUGGAAUAUUUGUACCAUCUAAUAUGAAACUCUCCCUCUUUAAUCCCUGGCAUGAAUACAAUAACCUGUCCAUUUCUAAGGAAAACAACCCCAUUAUCUACAUCAUCAGACUUAAAAACAGAAGCCAAUGAUGAACCUUCAUGCUUAAACUGUAUUUCCCAUCUAAUUUGUACCGUGGCUUCUAGAUGCAUACUCGCUUGUGUACUAUGUUACAGUGUCUUCUAGAUAUCUGUGUUGAAAGAAAAAGGAAAAAAAAUAAAACAAGAAGCGAUUCCUAACUCCUUGGUUGUUAUACUACAUUGCUUAGCAUUCCAUCUGCACAGGCAGAGGUGUUCCUGGUUUGGGAAGUAUAAAUCCCGUGGGAAGUCAACUGAAGAACAUUUUACACAUCACUCAUUCUAUUAUGAUCCUGCUGCUCUUCCAUCUCUCGACAAGUUAAAGGACAGAAGCAGCAAUAAGGCUGCUUGGCUACAUUUUCACAGUGCCACCAACUGCGAGUUAAGCUGACAAACAUUCUGAGAGCUUGGCCCAUUUCAUUCACAGCAGGAUGGCAGGUCAUAUCCUAACAAAGAAUGCAGUGGAAAAAUGUCAGAGCCUUUCUUUGAAGUUUUAUAAGACAAAUUAUGAAUUGAAAAGUGGAUUCCCACACUGUGACUAUGCCUAGAAUCUUGUCAAAGAAGAUAACAUAGGGAAUAAGCAAAAAAAAGUGUGCUUUUAUUGCACAUUUGCACCGAAUCCAAGACUGAAAACGACUAAAUUCUGCUCUGCAAGUGGGUGACUGAUUGUCCUUGCCAGCUGGCUAAUAUCAUAAUUAACAAAGUUGCUACCACAUCUGCAAAGUUUAAUUGAAAAACUGACCAGUGGUACGAUGGCAUUGUCACCAAGAUCACAGGGGAUUCGGAGUCGACUUCUGCUUCAGGUGGAACGGCAAGGUUAUGCAGCAAGAAGAAAAAUUGUGAACUUAUUCAACCAAAGGUUAUGCUUCACAUCACCCACCAGGGAGGAUCAUCUCUCAUGAAAACUUUCAAAUUUGAUUUUGAAAAUUUAUUCAGAAAAAUUUAAACCAAACUUUUUUUCCCAACACGAGAAAUAAUAUGCUCCAGAGGACCUUCUAAUUCACAUAAAAUGGACCUGGAUGACAUUUGGGUCCUCAUACUACCACAGUUCUCUUGAGGACAGCCAGGAGGCUAAUAAUGAAGGGGCCAGGGAAGGAGGCCAAUGCUACAAGGGUUAUCUCACAACCUCAGAUGGUGGAUAAGUCGAAGGAGGCAGAAUCACUUCUGGAUGACAUUCAGAGUGAUUAUUUGUAAGAGAAAACCCUGCUUAUUCUUUCAAAGGUACAUGAAUAUUGUUGAAACCUGCCCUUCUAGCGGUCCAUCCUUAGAUUCCUGCCGUAGACAAAGGAUGCACUUGGAGCCCUACCUCACCUAAAGCCACAGUUGAAGGAUCUGCCAAGCUCACUUUUAAUCAUGAGAAAGAAAUUACCCACAUGGAGACAGCAGAAAAUGAGAAAGUAGAGCUCGUGCUGCGAAUAAUUCCAGCGAGUGCCAAGGGGCUAGUUGAGGAAUGGCUUCAUGAGAUGUUAGUCUAUCUAGAACAACACCUGAGGAUCUAAGCCGGACCUUUGAGAAGGAAAUGACUUCAAGGAAAGACUCCUUUCCAUAUGAUUUAUUUUUUUAGCCUCAAUUGUUUAAAAUGUACUGUAAAACUAUAUUCAUCUUUUCUGCUCUCUGUGUACUUAUUUUUGCUUGAACUGUUUUGACCGUUGAACUAUAUAUUCACUAUGGAUUUUUAAAAGAGAAUUCUAAUAAAACUUUAUUUGUACUAUUA